rnacentral:antisense_RNA from 1 species
GGAGCGCCUCUGACUGACUUCCCCCAUGUGUCCGUGUGGCCACACCGUGCUACUUUCAGAGGCAGUGGGCUUUUCGCUAAGGGAUAAAAAGAAGUAAAACCUUGCCUUUAGCGCAGCUCUCCUUCACUGGGCAGAUUGCUCUCCCUCCCCACUCUCCCAGGCCCAAAUUGGAUCUCAGCGCCUGGGAGCUCCAACUUUAGCAAGUGCGAAAUCCUGUCUUCGGUUUUGGAAUUUUCAUCCGCACAGACUAUAUCAGCCACGGAUAGGAUAUGUGAGAAUACCAGCAUGUCAAGGCUGGGAAUCAUCCUUAGGCAUCACCUAGCCAGUCCUGCCUCUCAUUUUAAGGCCAGUAGCUGUGUACUCUUCCUGGGGAAUCUGGUGAGGUGCAGUAUUGCACCGUACCCAUUUAUCACCAGGAAGUUUGCAAGCUUCUACGAAAUAGCCAAUAAUUUUACUGCCUCCAUCAUGCUUUGGACGAGCCCAGAUCAGAGAUACAGUACUCUUGGUGACAUCAAUAACCUCAGGUUUCCCAGGAGGAUCUAAAACAAAAAGAGGAACACCUGGAGAUGAAGACAAGGAAGAUGUCAGUUUCUACAUUAAGUAACAAACUAGAAAGAAAACAUAACUUUUUUUCUCCUUCACAAAAACAUACCAAAUGGGAACUGCGCAACCAUCUUUGGAGAUGUGAGAGGCUCUGAAAUGCCAAAUCGGUUUUCAGCACGGACCCGGAAGAUGUACUCCUGGCCUGGGAUCAGCUUUCCAACCCUGCAGGAAGUUUUUGUGACUGAAGCUAGAGCUGUGACCCAGUCACCUCGGCUUACAUCACACUUCUCCAC